UACGUGGGGUGCAAGCAUUAAUCGGAUUUAUUGGGCGUAAAGGGCGCGUAGGCGGGACGGUAAGUCAGAUGUUAAAGACCGGAGCUCAACUCCGGAAAAGCAUUUGAAACUGCCAUUCUAGAGGGUAGGCGGAGAAAAUGGAAUUCCACAAGUAGCGGUGAAAUGCGUAGAUAUGUGGAAGAACACCAGUGGCGAAGGCGGUUUUCUAGCUUAUACCUGACGCUGAUGCGCGAAAGCAAGGGGAGCAAACAGG
rnacentral:rRNA from 1 species